rnacentral:rRNA from 1 species
UGCGAGUCACGUAGCAAUACGUGGCACACGGCUCAGUAACACGUAGUCAACAUAACCAGAGGACGUGGAUAAACUCGGGAAACUGAGGCUAAACCGCGAUAGACCAAGAUACCUGGAAUGGUUUUUGAUCAAAAUCUAUAUGGCCUUUGGAUUGGACUGCGACCGAUCAGGCUGUUGGUGAGGUAAUGGCCCACCAAACCUGUAACCGGUACGGGCUCUGAGAGGAGGAGCCCGGAGAUGGGCACUGAGACAAGGGCCCAGGCCCUAUGGGGCGCAGCAGGCGCGAAACCUCUGCAAUAGGCGAAAGCCUGACAGGGUUACUCUGAGUGAUUCCCGCUAAGGGAAUCUUUUGGCAUCUCUAAAAAUGGUGCAGAAUAAGGGGUGGGCAAGUCUGGUGUCAGCCGCCGCGGUAAUACCAGCACCCCGAGUGGUCGGGACGAUUAUUGGGCCUAAAGCAUCCGUAGCCGGUCUUGCAAGUCUUCCGUUAAAUCCAGCUGCUUAACAGAUGGGCUGCGGAGGAUACUACAAGGCUAGGAGGCGGGAGAGGCAAGCGGUACUCAGUGGGUAGGGGUAAAAUCCUCUGAUCCAUUGAAGACCACCAGUGGCGAAGGCGGCUUGCCAGAACGCGCUCGACGGUGAGGGAUGAAAGCUGGGGGAGCAAACCGGAUUAGAUACCCGGGUAGUCCCAGCUGUAAACGAUGCAGACUCGGUGAUGGGCCGGCUUUAUGCCGGCUCAGUGCCGCAGGGAAGCCGUUAAGUCUGCCGCCUGGGGAGUACGGUCGCAAGACUGAAACUUAA